rnacentral:rRNA from 1 species
AGCGAACGCUGGCGGCAGGCUUAACACAUGCAAGUCGAGCGCCCACUUCGGUGGGAGCGGCAGACGGGUGAGUAACACGUGGGAACGUGCCCUUCAGUUCGGAACAACCCAGGGAAACUUGGGCUAAUACCGGAUACGCCCUUACGGGGAAAGAUUUAUCGCUGAAGGAUCGGCCCGCGUCUGAUUAGCUAGUUGGUGGGGUAAUGGCCCACCAAGGCUACGAUCAGUAGCUGGUCUGAGAGGAUGAUCAGCCACACUGGGACUGAGACACGGCCCAGACUCCUACGGGAGGCAGCAGUGGGGAAUAUUGGACAAUGGGCGCAAGCCUGAUCCAGCCAUGCCGCGUGAGUGAUGAAGGCCUUAGGGUUGUAAAGCUCUUUCGUUGGGGAAGAUAAUGACGGUACCCAAAGAAGAAGCCCCGGCUAACUUCGUGACAGCCGCCGCAGUAAG